GUGUCAGCUGCCGCGGUAAUACGUAGGGUGCGAGCGUUAAUCGGAAUUACUGGGCGUAAAGCGUGCGCAGGCGGUUUUACAAGACAGAUGUGAAAUCCCCGGGCUUAACCUGGGAACUGCGUUUGUGACUGCAAGACUCGAGUGUGGCAGAGGGGGGUGGAAUUCCACGUGUAGCAGUGAAAUGCGUAGAGAGGUGGAGGAACACCGAUGGCGAAGGCAGCCCCCUGGGUCAACACUGACGCUCAUGCACGAAAGCGUGGGUAGCAAACAGGAUUAGAUACCCUGGUAGUCCACGCCCUAAACGAUGCGAACUAGGUGUUGGAGAAGGAGACUUCUUUAGUACCGCAGCUAACGCGUGAAGUUCGCCGCCUGGGGAGUACGGUCGCAAGAUUAAAACUCAAAUGAAUUGGCGG
rnacentral:rRNA from 1 species